AGGUUGAGCCACAGCAGUGAAAUUGAUUUUGCUUCAGCAACUGGAUUUUCAGCUUGAGCUGUGGUAGCAUUUGGAGCAGAGUCUGUGCAGGGUAUCAGGAGGCAGCAGACUUGAACAACUGCUUGGAUAGGAACAGAGCCUGAGAAAUUGCAGUGCUGGGAGCAGUUGGCCAUGUAACCAAGGAUCAACAGAGUAUUAAGAAGGCUUACUCUGAGUUUGUUCUGACCUACCUAGAGGAACUAAAUGAAAGAGGAGAUGACCCAGACAAAAAGCUGCAUUCACCAUUGGGCCUAGUCUUCAGUGCAUCAGGAGACAGAAUCGGCAGCUCAGCUGAAGGGGUCACAGUAUAAAGCCAGAGGCAGGUUCUGCAAAAAAAUAUCAGCAAUCUCAGUCAGAAACAACUUUCAGGACCUUUGGACGCCCAUUUAAUGCCUGCAGAUCCCCUAGGGGAGACUACACAGCUGACAGUGGCACUGGUGAGGAAACUAGAAGAGAAACAUCCUAAGGCCUCAGCUCAAAGUGCCUCCUGACUAGUUCAGAACUCGUCCAUAUGAAGUUAAAGAAAGGGGCUGAGCAGUGAUACCAAUCAUUGCUCAUGACUGAUGUGUGAAACUUUUUCUCCAGAUGCUAAUUGU